UACGUAGGGGGCAAGCGUUGUCCGGAUUCAUUGGGCGGAAAGAGCGCGCAGGCGGUCGAUCAAGUCGAGUGUGAAAGCCCCCGGCUCAACUGGGGAGGGUCAUUCGAUACUGAUCGACUCGAAGGCAGGAGAGGGUAGUGGAAUUCCCGGUGUAGUGGUGAAAUGCGUAGAUAUCGGGAGGAACACCAGGGGCGAAGGCGACUACGUGGCGUGUUCUUGACGCUGAGGCGCGAAAGCUAGGGGAGCAAACGGG
rnacentral:rRNA from 1 species